rnacentral:rRNA from 2 species
ACACGUGGUAUCCUGUCUGAAUAUGGGGGGACCAUCCUCCAAGGCUAAAUACUCCUGACUGACCGAUAGUGAACCAGUACCGUGAGGGAAAGGCGAAAAGAACCCCGGCGAGGGGAGUGAAAAAGAACCUGAAACCGUGUACGUACAAGCAGUGGGAGCACCCUUUGGGGUGUGACUGCGUACCUUUUGUAUAAUGGGUCAGCGACUUAUAUUCUGUAGCAAGGUUAACCGAAUAGGGGAGCCGGAGGGAAACCGAGUCUUAACCGGGCGUUAAGUUGCAGGGUAUAGACCCGAAACCCGGUGAUCUAGCCAUGGGCAGGUUGAAGGUUGGGUAACACUAACUGGAGGACCGAACCGACUAAUGUUGAAAAAUUAGCGGAUGACCUGUGGCUGGGGGUGAAAGGCCAAUCAAACCGGGAGAUAGCUGGUUCUCCCCGAAAGCUAUUUAGGUAGCGCCUCGUGAAUUCAUCUCCGGGGGUAGAGCACUGUUUCGGCUAGGGGGCCAUCCCGGCUUACCAACCCGAUGCAAACUGCGAAUACCGGAGAAUGUUAUCACGGGAGACACACGGCGGGUGCUAACGUCCGUCGUGAAGAGGGAAACAACCCAGACCGCCAGCUAAGGUCCCAAAGUCAUGGUUAAGUGGGAAACGAUGUGGGAAGGCCCAGACAGCCAGGAUGUUGGCUUAGAAGCAGCCAUCAUUUAAAGAAAGCGUAAUAGCUCACUGGUCGAGUCGGCCUGCGCGGAAGAUGUAACGGGGCUAAACCAUGCACCGAAGCUGCGGCAGCGACGCUGAUGCGUUGUUGGGUAGGGGAGCGUUCUGUAAGCCUGCGAAGGUGUGUCGUGAGGCAUGCUGGAGGUAUCAGAAGUGCGAAUGCUGACAUAAGUAACGAUAAAGCGGGUGAAAAGCCCGCUCGCCGGAAGACCAAGGGUUCCUGUCCAACGUUAAUCGGGGCAGGGUGAGUCGACCCCUAAGGCGAGGCCGAAAGGCGUAGUCGAUGGGAAACGGGUUAAUAUUCCCGUACUUGGUGUUACUGCGAAGGGGGGACGGAGAAGGCUAUGUUGGCCGGGCGACGGUUGUCCCGGUUUAAGCGUGUAGGUGUGUGUUCCAGGUAAAUCCGGUUCACUUUAACACUGAGGCGUGAUGACGAGGCACUACGGUGCUGAAGCAACAAAUGCCCUGCUUCCAGGAAAAGCCUCUAAGCAUCAGGUAACAUCAAAUCGUACCCCAAACCGACACAGGUGGUCAGGUAGAGAAUACCAAGGCGCUUGAGAGAACUCGGGUGAAGGAACUAGGCAAAAUGGUGCCGUAACUUCGGGAGAAGGCACGCUGACACGUAGGUGAAGUGAUUUACUCAUGGAGCUGAAGUCAGUCGAAGAUACCAGCUGGCUGCAACUGUUUAUUAAAAACACAGCACUGUGCAAACACGAAAGUGGACGUAUACGGUGUGACGCCUGCCCGGUGCCGGAAGGUUAAUUGAUGGGGUCAGCGCAAGCGAAGCUCCUGAUCGAAGCCCCGGUAAACGGCGGCCGUAACUAUAACGGUCCUAAGGUAGCGAAAUUCCUUGUCGGGUAAGUUCCGACCUGCACGAAUGGCGUAAUGAUGGCCAGGCUGUCUCCACCCGAGACUCAGUGAAAUUGAACUCGCUGUGAAGAUGCAGUGUACCCGCGGCAAGACGGAAAGACCCCGUGAACCUUUACUAUAGCUUGACACUGAACAUUGAGCCUUGAUGUGUAGGAUAGGUGGGAGGCUUUGAAGUGUGGACGCCAGUCUGCAUGGAGCCGGCCUUGAAAUACCACCCUUUAAUGUUUGAUGUUCUAACGUGGACCCGUGAUCCGGGUUGCGGACAGUGUCUGGUGGGUAGUUUGACUGGGGCGGUCUCCUCCUAAAGAGUAACGGAGGAGCACGAAGGUUGGCUAAUCCUGGUCGGACAUCAGGAGGUUAGUGCAAUGGCAUAAGCCAGCUUGACUGCGAGCGUGACGGCGCGAGCAGGUGCGAAAGCAGGUCAUAGUGAUCCGGUGGUUCUGAAUGGAAGGGCCAUCGCUCAACGGAUAAAAGGUACUCCGGGGAUAACAGGCUGAUACCGCCCAAGAGUUCAUAUCGACGGCGGUGUUUGGCACCUCGAUGUCGGCUCAUCACAUCCUGGGGCUGAAGUAGGUCCCAAGGGUAUGGCUGUUCGCCAUUUAAAGUGGUACGCGAGCUGGGUUUAGAACGUCGUGAGACAGUUCGGUCCCUAUCUGCCGUGGGCGCUGGAGAACUGAGGGGGGCUGCUCCUAGUACGAGAGGACCGGAGUGGACGCAUCACUGGUGUUCGGGUUGUCAUGCCAAUGGCACUGCCCGGUAGCUAAAUGCGGAAGAGAUAAGUGCUGAAAGCAUCUAAGCACGAAACUUGCCCCGAGAUGAGUUCUCCCUGAGACUUAGAGUCUCCUGAAGGAACGUUGAAGACGACGACGUUGAUAGGCCGGGUGUGUAAGCGCAGCGAUGCGUUGAGCUAACCGGUACUAAUGAACCGUGAGGCUUAACCUUACAACGCCGAAG